AGGACUAACGCUGGCGGCGUGCCUAACACAUGCAAGUCGAACGAGAGUAGCAAUACUCUAGUGGCAGACGGGUGAGUAACACGUGGUCAACCUACCUUUAAGUGGGGGAUAACUAGCCGAAAGGUUAGCUAAUACCGCAUACGAUCUUCGCGUGGCAUCACAUGAAGAUGAAAGGAGCAAUCCGCUGAAAGACGGGACCGCGUCCCAUUAGCCAGUUGGUGGGGUAACGGCCUACCAAAGCAACGAUGGGUAGCUGGCUUGAGAGAGCGACCAGCCACACUGGGACUGAGACACGGCCCAGACUCCUACGGGAGGCAGCAGUGAGGAAUUUUCCGCAAUGGGCGAAAGCCUGACGGAGCGACGCCGCGUGUGGGAUGAAGGCCUUCGGGUCGUAAACCACUGUCGAAGGGAAGAUAUUGACGGUACCUUGGAGGAAGCCCCGGCUAACUACGUGCCAGCAGCCGC
rnacentral:rRNA from 1 species